UACGGAGGAUGCAAGCGUUAUCCGGAUUUAUUGGGUUUAAAGGGUGCGCAGGUUGUUUGAUAAGUCAGUGGUGAAAGUCUGUCGCUUAACGGUAGGAUUGCCAUUGAUACUGUUGGACUUGAAUAUGGAUGAGGUAGGCGGAAUGUGUAGUGUAGCGGUGAAAUGCAUAGAUAUUACACAGAACACCGAUUGCGAAGGCAGCUUACUAAUCCAUCAUUGACGCUGAGGCGCGAAAGCGUGGGGAUCAAACAGGA
rnacentral:rRNA from 1 species